rnacentral:lncRNA from 10 species
UCUAGCUUGCCUAAUAUCAUCAUUUUCAGGGACAAUUAAAAGUUCAGAUGCUUACAUCAAAGACACCUGGGUUCUUCUCCCAGCUCUGCAGCUUGCUAAGUGUGAUGCUGAGCAAGAUGCUAAUCUUCCCUAAACCUCCACUUUCUCCUCUGAUAAACAGGAAUUAUUCUAAAAUAUGGUAGUUGUGAGGAUUACAUCAGAAAAUAUCAGAAGGAAAGCAUUUCCAAUCACUCCUGGCACCACAGACAAGUUUGCUAUUAUUAUUUGUUUCUCUUGAUAGGUUGUGCUGAUUUGGGGCCAUAGCUUAUUUGACAGGUAUUCCCAAAAGCACUGUGAUUCCCACCUGGUAUGUGCUAAGUGACUUUUUCUUGAAUUAAGAUAUUUGUUGAGUAGAUUCACAGUAUGAAGCCAGGAAAAUCACACCAAACAAUGCAAAUGAGUGAGCUCUCUGUGCCAGACUCCUUCAACAGUUGAUUUGGUUCGAGCCCACUGUCAAGGCCUCCAGGCAGAUUUCCUGAGGGAGCCACACUCUGCUUCUAAUCCUGCUGCCAUUGAAGUCAUGGGACUCUGGUUCAUGGUCUCACCAUUGCACUGGAAAAGUCGAUGAACCAUAUUAUCUAAAGUAUUGCAGAAAGGUAACUUGCUCCUAGUGGGUUAGGAUUGGGCAGACUCCAAAGUUGUGCUCUUGAAACGUUGAAAAGACCCUUGCUAUCCAUGAACUCACUAGCUGGGUAAACUUUGACAAGUAGAGGUCUCUGAAUCUCAGUUUAUAUACCUAUAAAAUAGAGCUAAAAUACAAUUCUACUUAUUACAUGUAGCAUACUGAGAUCCUCUUUCUUCAAAAGCUUACUAAGGCAAAAUUUUGUAAGAAGUGAUGAUUACCUUGUUUAGCCCUUCCAAGCACCACCAUGUUGUUUAUAACAAUCUUUACAAAAAAAAACUUUUGAAUUUUGAGAUAGUUUUGGAUUUACAGAAGAAGUAUAAAAAUGGUACAGAUAGUUCCAAUAUAUCUUUCACUCAGCUUCUUCUUAUGGUAAUGUCCUAUGUAACCAUAGGACAAUUAUCAGAACUAAGUAACCCCAGUACAAUACUAAUGUCUAAACUAUAGACUUUAUUAAGAUUUCACCAUAUUUUUCUACUAAGGUCCAUUUACAAUUCCAUGAUCCAAUUCAGGAUCCCAUACUGCAUUUACUUGUCAUGCCUCCUUAGUGUUCUCCAAUCCAUGACAGUUUCUAAGUCUUUCCUUGUUUUUUAUGACCUUGACACUUUUGAAGAGUACUGCUCAGUUAUUUUGAUAAUAGCCCUUUUCUCUCAAAAUAGUUAUUUUUUAAAUCAAUAGCAUAUCAUUGAGUUCCAUUUUGUUUUUUCCAACAGCUUUAUUAAAAUAUAAUUGACAAAUUGAAAUUUUAUAUAUUCAUCACCUCACCUGGUUACCAUUUGUGCAUGUGAAAACAUUUAAAUCUAUUCUCUCCACAAAUUUCAAGUAUAUGACAUAUUUAUUACUAUGCUCCCCAUGCUGUACAUUAGGUCUCUAGAACUUAUUCCUUCCUACAUAUGGGUGUGGCUGGUAGACACAUAGAACUAAAAGCACCACUUUUUUUUUUUUUUUUUUUUUUUUUUUUUUUUUUUUUUUUUUUGAGACAGAGUCUCACUCUGUCAUCCAGGCUGCAGUGCAGUGUUGCGAUCUCGGCUCACUGCAACCUCCGCCCCCUGAGUUCAAGCGAUUCUCCCACCUCAGCCUCCUGAGUAGUUAGGAGUACAGGCAUGCACCACCACACCCAGCUAAUUUUUGUAGUUUUAGUAGGGACAGGCUUUCACCGUGUUGGCCAGGCUGGUCUCAAACUCCUGGCACCAAGUGAUCUGCCCAUCUUGGCCUCCUAAAGUGAUGGGAUUACAGGUGUGAGCCACUGCACCCGACCUAAAAGCGCCACUUGAUACUGAUCUUUCCUACUGGCAGAGAUGGGAUUCCAGGGUCUUAAUUAUUAUUUGUGCAUUUUGGUUUCCACAGGCAAAAUGAAAGGUAGGCUAAAAGCUUCAAGUUGUUUCUGUGAUAGCACACGUCGUGACGGAUUUGGGUGGUGGUUUCCUUUCCAGUUGGCUCUAAGAAUAAUGUAUUAAGCCAGACCACAAUCAGAUGCCAAGCCCAUGAUUAGCUUUCUCUCUCCACUUGGGUCGCUUUUGUUUUUUGAGCAGAUAUGCAGUGCUGGAUACAGCCAUUUGUGGGUGGGCUGAGGAUGGGCCCUUAUUUCAUUUAAACCACAUAAAACUGUGUAAAGCAGUUGUUAUUUUCUUUCAUACAUCAGGAUUUUUGCUAAUAGUGUUGGUUAGGAGAAAGACGAGCCAAAAUGCCUAGGUUCCAUUCCCAGUUUUGCCACUUAAUGACUGUGUGA